rnacentral:rRNA from 1 species
GACGAACGCUGGCGGCGUGCUUAACACAUGCAAGUGGAGCGACGAACCAGGGCUUGCCCUGGGGCAAAGCCGCGAACGGGUGAGUAACACGUGGGUAACCUGCCCUGAUGAUUGGGACAACCCGAGGAAACUCGGGCUAAUACCAAAUGUGUUCCCCGGCCAUAAGGCCGGUGAGGAAAGGUAGCUUCGGCUUCCGCAUCAGGAUGGGCCCGCGGCCCAUUAGCUUGUUGGUGGGGUAACGGCCUACCAAGGCUUCGAUGGGUAGCUGGUCUGAGAGGACGAUCAGCCACACUGGGACUGAGACACGGCCCAGACUCCUACGGGAGGCAGCAGUGGGGAAUCUUGCACAAUGCGCGAAAGCGUGAUGCAGCAACGCCGCGUGGGGGAAGAAGGCCUUAGGGUUGUAAAGCUCUUUCAGCUGGGAAGAUAAUGACGGUACCAGCAGAAGAAGCCCCGGCUAACUCCGUGCCAGCCGCCGCAGUAACAC